AUUGAACGCUGGCGGCAGGCUUAACACAUGCAAGUCGAGCGGGGUGAUGGUGCUUGCACUAUCACUUAGCGGCGGACGGGUGAGUAAUGCUUAGGAAUCUGCCUAUUAGUGGGGGACAACAUCUCGAAAGGGAUGCUAAUACCGCAUACGUCCUACGGGAGAAAGCAGGGGAUCACUUGUGACCUUGCGCUAAUAGAUGAGCCUAAGUCGGAUUAGCUAGUGGGUGGGGUAAAGGCAUACCAAGGCGACGAUCUGUAGCGGGUCUGAGAGGAUGAUCCGCCACACUGGGACUGGGACACGGCCCAGACUCCUACGGGGGGCAGCAGUGGGGAAUAUUGGACAAUGGGGGGAACCCUGAUCCAGCCAUGCCGCGUGUGUGAAGAAGGCCUUAUGGUUGUAAAGCACUUUAAGCGAGGAGGAGGCUCUUUUGGUUAAUACCCAAGAUGAGUGGACGUUACUCGCAGAAUAAGCACCGGCUAACUCUGUGCCAGCCGCCGCCGUAA
rnacentral:rRNA from 1 species